rnacentral:rRNA from 2 species
GCAAGUAAGGGCAUGCUUACCAUGCAGUCGAACGAUGAAGCCCUGCUUGCAGGGUGGAUUAGUGGCGAACGGGUGAGUAACACGUGAGUAACCUGCCCCUGACUCUGGGAUAAGCCCGGGAAACUGGGUCUAAUACCGGAUAUGACUUCCUACUGCAUGGUGGGUUGUUGAAAGAUUUAUCGGUGGGGGAUGGACUCGCGGCCUAUCAGCUUGUUGGUGAGGUAAUGGCUCACCAAGGCGACGACGGGUAGCCGGCCUGAGAGGGUGACCGGCCACACUGGGACUGAGACACGGCCCAGACUCCUACGGGAGGCAGCAGUGGGGAAUAUUGCACAAUGGGCGGAAGCCUGAUGCAGCGACGCCGCGUGAGGGAUGACGGCCUUCGGGUUGUAAACCUCUUUCAGUAGGGAAGAAGCGAAAGUGACGGUACCUGCAGAAGAAGCGCCGGCUAACUACGUGCCAGCAGCCGCGGUAAUACGUAGGGCGCAAGCGUUAUCCGGAUUUAUUGGGCGUAAAGAGCUCGUAGGCGGUUUGUCGCGUCUGCCGUGAAAGUCCGAGGCUCAACCUCGGAUCUGCGGUGGGUACGGGCAGACUAGAGUGAUGUAGGGGAGACUGGAAUUCCUGGUGUAGCGGUGAAAUGCGCAGAUAUCAGGAGGAACACCGAUGGCGAAGGCAGGUCUCUGGGCAUUUACUGACGCUGAGGAGCGAAAGCAUGGGGAGCGAACAGGAUUAGAUACCCUGGUAGUCCAUGCCGUAAAACGUUGGGCACUAGGUGUGGGGGACAUUCCACGUUUUCCGCGCCGUAGCUAACGCAUUAAGUGCCCCGCCUGGGAGUACGGCCGCAAGGCUAAAACUCAAGGAAUUGACGGGGGCCCGCACAAGCGGCGGAGCAUGCGGAUUAAUUCGAUGCAACGCGAAGAACCUUACCAAGGCUUGACAUGUGCCAGACCGCUCCAGAGAUGGGGUUUCCCUUCGGGGCUGGUUCACAGGUGGUGCAUGGUUGUCGUCAGCUCGUGUCGUGAGAUGUUGGGUUAAGUCCCGCAACGAGCGCAACCCUCGUUCCAUGUUGCCAGCACGUAGUGGUGGGGACUCAUGGGAGACUGCCGGGGUCAACUCGGAGGAAGGUGGGGAUGACGUCAAAUCAUCAUGCCCCUUAUGUCUUGGGCUUCACGCAUGCUACAAUGGCCGGUACAAUGGGUUGCGAUACUGUGAGGUGGAGCUAAUCCCUAAAAGCCGGUCUCAGUUCGGAUUGGGGUCUGCAACUCGACCCCAUGAAGUCGGAGUCGCUAGUAAUCGCAGAUCAGCAACGCUGCGGUGAAUACGUUCCCGGGCCUUGUACACACCGCCCGUCAAGUCACGAAAGUUGGUAACACCCGAAGCCGAUGGCCUAACCACCUUGUGUGGGGGGAGUCGUCGAAGGUGGACCCCAAUG